GAUCCUGGCUUAGGACGAACGCUGGCGGCGUGCCUAACACAUGCAAGUCGAACGGACUGAUUCCUUCGGGAAUGAAAGUUAGUGGCGGACGGGUGAGUAACGCGUGAGCAACCUGCCUUUCAGAGGGGAAUAACGUUUGGAAACAGACGCUAAUACCGCAUAACGCAUAGGUGUCGCAUGGCAUUUAUGCCAAAGGAGCAAUCCGCUGAAAGAUGGGCUCGCGUCCGAUUAGAUAGUUGGUGGGGUAACGGCCUACCAAGUCGACGAUCGGUAGCCGGACUGAGAGGUUGAACGGCCACAUUGGGACUGAGACACGGCCCAGACUCCUACGGGAGGCAGCAGUGGGGGAUAUUGCACAAUGGGCGAAAGCCUGAUGCCAGCAACGCCGCGUGAGGGAUGACGGUUUUCGGAUUGUAAACCUCUGUCUUUGGUGACGAACAAAUGACGGUAGCCGAGGAGGAAGCCACGGCUAACUACGUGCCAGCAGCUGC
rnacentral:rRNA from 1 species